UCUGUCUGUUAGUCCUUUUCCGAUGCCUGUCAUUAUCAUUGUCCUCUGAACUUGACUUGGAAUGCUUUCCCCUAAUUGACUCAGAAUGCUUUUUCUUCCCGUGUUCCUUAUCUUUAGGCACAGGUGAACUUGACCGUGAACGUCUGUGUCUGUUACUCCUUUUCCGAUGCCUGUCAUUAGUAUCGUCCUCUGAACUUGACUCGGAAUGCUUUCCCCUACUUGACUCAGAAUGCUUUUUCUUCCUGUGUUCCUUAUCUUCAGGCACAGGUGAACUUGACCGGGAACAUCUGUGUCUGUUAUUCCUUUUCCGAUGCCUGUCAUUAUUAUCGUCCUCUGAACUUGACUUAGAAUGCUUUCCCCUACUUGACUCAUUAUGAUUCUUCUUCCUGU
rnacentral:lncRNA from 1 species